rnacentral:rRNA from 1 species
AGAGUUUGAUCAUGGCUCAGGAUGAACGCUAGCUACAGGCUUAACACAUGCAAGUCGAGGGGAAACGACAUCGAAAGCUUGCUUUUGAUGGGCGUCGACCGGCGCACGGGUGAGUAACGCGUAUCCAACCUGCCCAUCACUUGGGGAUAACCUUGCGAAAGUAAGACUAAUACCCAAUGAUAUCUCCAGAAGGCAUCUGAAAGAGAUUAAAGAUUUAUCGGUGAGUGGAUGGGGAUGCGUCUGAUUAGCUUGUUGCGGGUAACGGCCACAAGCAACGAUCAGUAGGGUUCUGACGAGGAAGGUCCCCCANAUUGGAACUGAGACACGGUCCAAACUCCUACGGGAGGCA